AACACAUAGCAAGUCGAACGGAGCGAAUGAAAGACUUGCUUUUAUUAAGCUUAUAGGCAAACGGGUGAGUAACACGUAGACAACCUAGCCGACAGGAUGGGGACGAACAUUCCGAAAGGAAUAGCUAAUACCGAAUGAAGUGCAGGGGAGGCAUCUCCCCUGCAUGAAAGAUGGCCUCUGAAUAUGCUAUUACCUGUUGAUGGGUCUGCGUCUGAUUAGCUGGUAGGUGAGGUAACGGCUCACCUAGGCGACGAUCAGUAGCCGGUCUGAGAGGAUGAACGGCCACAUUGGGACUGAGACACGGCCCAGACUCCUACGGGAGGCAGCAGUGGGGAAUCUUCCGCAAUGGGCGCAAGCCUGACGGAGCAACGCCGCGUGAGUGAAGAAGGUCUUCGGAUCGUAAAGCUCUGUUGAUGGGGACGAACGUGCCUAAUGCGAAUAGUAUUAGGUAAUGACGGUACCCAUCGAGGAAGCCACGGCUAACUACGUG
rnacentral:rRNA from 1 species